rnacentral:rRNA from 1 species
AAUAUAGUUGAGUUUGUGAUGCUCUGAUUGAACACUGUCAAG